rnacentral:misc_RNA from 1 species
UCUCCGUUGGUGAGCCAGCGGAGGGAUCAUUACAGAGUUGCAAAACUCCCAAACCAUCGUGAACGUUACCUAUCCCGUUGCUUCGGCGGGCGGCCCGGGCCCCGCGCCCGGCGCCCCCCGGCCCCCCGUGGGCGCCCGCCGGAGGUAAACCAAACCCUUGAAUUGCAUGGCCUCUCUGAGUCUUCUGUACUGAAUAAGUCAAAACUUUCAACAACGGAUCUCUUGGUUCUG